rnacentral:rRNA from 1 species
AGCGAACGCUGGCGGCAAGCUUAACACAUGCAAGUCGAACGAUGUAGCAAUACAUAGUGGCGGACGGGUGCAUAACACGUGGGUAUCUGCCUUUAGGUACGGAAUAACUCAGGGAAACUUGAGCUAAUACCGUAUAAUAUCUCUGGAUCAAAGAUUUAUCGCCUAAAGAUGAGCCCGCGGCAGAUUAGCUAGUUGGUGGGGUAAUGGCCUACCAAGGCGACGAUCUGUAGCUGGUCUUAGAGGAUGAUCAGCCACACUGGGACUGAGACACGGCCCAGACUCCUACGGGAGGCAGCAGUGGGGAAUAUUGGACAAUGGGGGCAACCCUGAUCCAGCUAUGCCGCGUGAGUGAUGAAGGCCUUAGGGUUGUAAAGCUCUUUUAGAUGGGAAGAUAAUGACGGUACCAUCAGAAAAAGCCCCGGCUAACUUCGUGCCAGCAGCCGCCGUAA